GACUCUUCCCCACAGCGCCAACCUUAAAAGAGAGAAGACUAGCAAAAGAAAAAUCACCUUUACUUCUUCGGUUUCUCGGCUGCUAUAUCAUUCUAAAACCGUGAGAGGAAAUCGAACUCUUCAAUCUUCACCAUCUUCUUCUCGCUUUCACAGGGAGAUCUUGUUUCCUUUUUUUGUUUCAGCAAAAUUCUCAGGGUAAUUUUUUCAGGAUCAAGUUUCGGAGAUGUUAGAUUGGAAUGAUAAAGAACUGGUGCGAGGCAUGGAAUUGGGUGAAUUUUUUGAGAAUGGAGAUAGUAUUGUGCCUCAUCCCAUGGAAACUGAAGAGAUGGCUUUUACUUUUGGAGAUCAGAGAGUGAAACAGAUGAAGGAAAGCAUUGCCAGUGACAGGAGGUCUAAUAACCAAAUCUGUGGAACUAAAAAUAAUUUAAGGAGCUGUUAUUUGGAGAAUAUCUCUUGUUAUAGUACAAAUGAGAAACCUACUGCUUCAGAACUCCACUUUGAUGCAUUGCCUGCAUGGCCUACCGUAAGUUCUGCAUGCAGGAAAGGGUACAAUGGUGGACAAGAACAUGAUCCUUGGGCAACAGAAGUGAUGGAAGAUCUUAUUGAUAAUUCUCAACUGAAUUCGCUGAGUGAUUGCAUGAUGGAGUGUCAUCAUUCUGGUGUUAUGCUUCAUGGCGAGGACUCAUUAUCUGCAGAUAAGUCAUGUAGUUUCUCAACCAGUAGAAAUAGUGGAGGGUAUGAAGAUAAAGAGAUUAACGGCCUUCUUGACUUUGAUUGGGAUACUUUUGAAGACAUUGAUUUUGAUAUGAUUUUCAGAAAUGAUGACUCCACUUACUCCAUAUUUGGAGAUGAAAUAGUUGGUAUUUCAGAUGUAUUUCUCUCUCCAUCUACCAAUGUAACGAGUAGCACCACACAGUUUAUUCCAAAGCCAGAUAUUUCGUUUUGCGAAGAUGAGACUCCUGAUCAAGGUUGUUCCUCCGUUCUGUUAGAUGAACAUCCACAUAGAAAAAGAAAUGCUUUACAUAAAGAGAAGGCAGAUGAGCAAGAAAAACCACCGAUUUCAUGGGAACGGUCAGAGGCAAAUAGCAAGAAUAGAGAAUCAUGCAACUUGAAAGGUUCCUGGGCCCAUAAAACUUGCCAAAACCAACAAAAUUCAAGACAGAAAAGGGUUUCUUCAGAUACAGUACCAGAUGUUAGACCACAUAAUGCAACACUCCAGGAAAAUAUUGAAAAUCAAAAGCAGCAGCAGCAAACACAGGCUAUGAUUGCAGUUCAGCAGCAGCAGCAAAAAAAUGGCCUUCAGAUCACUGUUGCUGGCAAUUCAGUUUCCCAGUCAUGCUCACAAAAGAGUCUGAGUCAGGAAGCUGCCACAAGCUCUUUUGGAAUUGAAGAAAGUUCAGAGCUCACAUCAUUGGAGCAGAACAUGCUUGUAGAGCAAGAGGAAUCUGAGAGGAGCUCGAUGCUGAGUGAUGAGCACUCUUUAGAAGAAACCAUAUAUUACCGUCUCCAAGAUACUUUAAGAAAGUUGGACACUGGGCUGAGGCUUUGCAUCAGAGAUAGCAUGUUUCGUUUAGCUAGAAGUGCUAUAGAAAGACAAAGCAUUAAUGACAGCUUAAGUACCAACAAGAGUAACAAAGAUGAAGAAGAGGUUGCUGAAAAUGGACAAAUGAAUAAUCAUGGGAGGGCUGCAAGUUCACCAACUUCAGAGACAUAUACAAAUUUCAUCGAUCGGAUCGUGGCUCAGUUGCUCUUUCACAGGUCUCCAUAGUCAUGUCCAUGAGCCACAGAAGAUGAGCAACCUCCACCAUCCAUUUUGCACAACUUCGGUAAUGUCCCUUUUUCUGUAAAAGUAACGUGCUUUGAUUUGUCCGACGAUGAAUCACACUUACUUGCAUGAUUGGUGAUCGAUGAAUGCCUUGUGGAAGCGCAAUGAUGGGACAGCUUAAGAACUUUGUAUAGAAGGAGGCCCAACCUUUGCUUUGGAGUAAGAUGCCAAGAGGAAGUCCAGCCAAAAUCUGGGUGAGGAAGAGAUCAUACCCAGGAAAUAGGAGACAAAUUGUUGGCUGCCUGUGCUCAUGCAUGGGGAUGUACGAUUCAUGGCGGACGUGGGAAGUGCUUGUCGAAAUUUGGAAGAUAAUACCAAAGGCAUUGAAAAUAAAUACAAAGAGGAGAUCGACUGCAAUAUUUUGAUGAAAGAUGUAACGUUGUAUAUGGAUGUGCGAUAGUUUGUGAAUAACCUCGACAAUUGCAAUUAUCAUAGAAGAAGAGCAGGCGCAAUUGACUGUGAAGGCGCGAUUGCACAUGAACUUUUUUAUUCCCUUAUAUGGUUUUUCUUUUUCUUCUCAAGAA